UUCACCGCUAAAGUAGAUGAUUUAUAUUACUUGUGAUAUAAAUUUUGAAACUUUAGUGAGUAGGAAGGUACAAUGGUAUGCGUAGAAGUGUUUGGCGUAAGCCUGCAUGGAGCUGCCAUUGGUACAGAUCUUGGUGGUAGUAGCAAAUAAUCGAAUGAGACCUUGGAGGACUGAAGUGGAGAAGGGUUUCGUGUGAACAGUGGUUGAUCACGAGUUAGUCGGUCCUAAGUUCAAGGCGAAAGCCGAAAAUUUUCAAGUAAAACAAAAAUGCCUAACUAUAUAAACAAAGCGAAUAUAAUACACUUGAAUAAUUUUGAACGAAAGGGAAUACGGUUCCAAUUCCGUAACCUGUUGAGUAUCCGUUUGUUAUUAAAUAUGGGCCUCGUGCUCAUCCUGGCAACAGGAACGACCAUAAAGAAGCCGUCGAGAGAUAUCGGAAGAGUUUUCUUUUCUGUUUUAUAGCCGUACUACCAUGGAAGUCUUUCGCAGAGAGAUAUGGUAGAUGGGCUAGAAGAGCAUGACAUAUACUGUUGUGUCGAUAUUUUCUCCUCGGACCUUGAAAAUUUAUGGUGGGGACACGCAAACUUCUCAACAGGCCGUACCAAUAUCCGCAGCUGGUCUCCAAGGUGAAGAGUCUCUAGUCGAUAGAAUAAUGUAGGUAAGGGAAGUCGGCAAAUUAGAUCCGUAACUUCGGGAUAAGGAUUGGCUCUGAAGAUUGAGAUAGUCGGGCUUGAUUGGGAAACAAUAACAUGGUUUAUGUGCUCGUUCUGGGUAAAUAGAGUUUCUAGCAUUUAUGUUAGUUACUUGUUCCCCGGAUAGUUUAGUUACGUAGCCAAUUGUGGAACUUUCUUGCUAAAUUUUAAGAAUACUAUUUGGGUUAACCAAUUAGUCUUAUCAAUUAUAACGAUUAUCAUUAACAUCAUUCAGACUGGCACGACUUGGGAUCGACUGUCUAUAUACAAGCAUGUGAUGGCCUAGCGGUGUGACACAUGUGAUUCUGCCAGUGCUCUGAUGUCAAGUGAGAAUCAGUAGCGCGGUCACGGCGGAGUACUAUGACUCUCUAUGUAGCAAUGCUCGUCAUCUAUAGUGACGCGCAUGAUGGAUACGAGAUCUACUGUCUAUCUACUAUCUAGGCGAAGCACAGCAGGCACGCUGAUAUAGCGGAAGAGACAUUGAGCUGACUCUAUCUGCAGUGUAGAGACAUAGAGUGUAGAUAGUGGAGAUAUAGACUCGUUGUAUCGUCAUGAAUAC
rnacentral:ncRNA from 1 species